CACGUAGGGUGCGAGCGUUGUCCGGAAUUAUUGGGCGUAAAGAGCUCGUAGGCGGUGUGUCGCGUCGGCCGUGAAAACCUGCAGCUUAACUGUGGGCUUGCGGUCGAUACGGGCAUCACUGGAGUUCGGCAGGGGAGACUGGAAUUCCUGGUGUAGCGGUGAAAUGCGCAGAUAUCAGGAGGAACACCGGCGGCGAAGGCGGGUCUCUGGGCCGAUACUGACGCUGAGGAGCGAAAGCGUGGGGAGCAAACAGG
rnacentral:rRNA from 1 species